AUUGAACGCCGGCGGCGUGCUUAACACAUGCAAGUCGAACGGAGUGGCGAACGGGUGAGUAACACGUGGGUGACCCGCCCUGCACUUCGGGAUAAGCCUGGGAAACUGGGUCUAAUACCGGAUAGUGUGGGAUGGGCCCGCGGCCUAUCCGCUUGUUGGUGGGGUAAUGGCCGACCAAGGCGGCGACGGGUAGCCGGCCUGGGAGGGUGGACGGCCACAUUGGGCCUGCGAGACGGACCAGACUCCUACGUGAGGCAGCAGGGGGGAAUAUUGCACAAGGGGCGGAAGCCUGAUGCAGAGACGCCGCGUGGGGGAUGACGGCCUUCGGGUAGAAAACUCCUUUCACCAUCGACGCGGUAGAUGGAGAAGAAGCACCGGCUAACUACGUGCCAGCAGCCGCGGUAAUAC
rnacentral:rRNA from 1 species